rnacentral:rRNA from 1 species
AGCACUUUUUUAGAACUCUUCGGAGGCCCUAGAGGGUGACUUAGCGGCGGACGGGUGAGUAACGCGUGGGCAACCUGCCUUACACAGGGGGAUAACAAUUAUUCAUGAAAGCUAAUACCGCAUAAGACCCCGGUACCGCAUGGUACAGGGGUAAAAACUGAGGUGGUGUAAGAUGGGCCCGCGUCUGAUUAGGUAGUUGGUGGGGUAGAAGCCUACCAAGCCGACGAUCAGUAGCCGACCUGAGAGGGCGACCGGCCACAUUGGGACUGAGACACGGCCCAAACUCCUACGGGAGGCAGCAGUGGGGAAUAUUGCACAAUGGGGGAAUUUUUUAUGCAGCGACGCCGCGUGAGUGAGGAAGUAUUUCGGUAUGUAAAGCUCUAUCAGCAGGGAAGAAAAUGAAAAAACAUGUCUAUGAAGCCCCGGCGGGGGGCAAAAAAGCAGCCGCGGUAAUACGUAGGGGGCAAGCGUUAUCCGGAUUUACUGGGUGUAAAGGGAGCGUAGACGGAAUUGCAAGUCUGAUGUGAAAAUCCGGGGCCCAACCCCGGAACUGCAUCGGAAACUGUAUUUCUAGAGUGUCGGAGAGG